UACAGAGGUGGCAAGCGUUGUUCGGAAUUACUGGGCGUAAAGCGCGUGUAGGCGGCCCGGUAAGUCCGCUGUGAAAGUCCAGGGCUCAACCCUGGGAUGCCGGUGGAUACUGUCGGGCUCGAGUCCGGAAGAGGCGAGUGGAAUUCCUGGUGUAGCGGUGAAAUGCGCAGAUAUCAGGAGGAACACCAAUGGCGAAGGCAGCUCGCUGGGACGUGACUGACGCUGAGACGCGAAAGCGUGGGGAGCAAACAGG
rnacentral:rRNA from 1 species